CUAGGUAGGGGAUCGGGACUCUGGCGGGAGGGCGGCUCGGUGCGUUUGCGGGGACGGACGGCCGCGGCAGGCCCUCCGAGCGUGGUGGAGCCGCUCUGUGAGACAGCCGGAUCAUUCCUUGAGGACAGGACAGUGCUUGUUUAAGGCUAUAUUUCUGCUGUCUGAGCAGCAACAGGUCUUCGAGAUCAACAUGAUUUUCAUAAUCCCAAGAUGUUGCCAUUUAUGUUCUCAGAAGCAAGCAGAGGCACCAUGGAGGGUCUCUUCCUUCAUCUUGAUCUGAAGGAUGAACAAAGGCUUGAGCAGUGCGCUUUAGAAGAUAAACUGCAGCAUGAAGGCCCCCGAUGUUCACCCAGACUGUAUGGACCUUUCGCCACACAUGUCCCAUUCCAGAUAAGGCCUGGCACACACAAAA
ensembl:antisense uncharacterized LOC110296227